rnacentral:rRNA from 1 species
GAUCCUGGCUCAGAAUGAACGCUGGCGGCAUGGAUUAGGCAUGCAAGUCGAACGGUGACCUGGGAGCUUGCUCCCGGCGAUCAGUGGCGAAAGGGUGAGUAACACGUGAGUGACCUGCCCCCGAGUUCGGAAUAGCCCCGGGAAACUGGGAUUAAUACCGGAUGUGGUUUUCCACUGCCUGGUGGAAGGACUAAAGAAUCUCGCUCGGGGAUGGGCUCGCGUCCGAUUAGCUAGUUGGUGAGGUAACGGCUCACCAAGGCUUUGACCGGUAGCUGGUCUGAGAGGAUGGUCAGCCACACUGGGACUGAGACACUGCCCAGACUCCUACGGGAGGCUGCAGUCGAGAAUCAUCCGCAAUGGGCGAAAGCCUGACGGUGCGAUGCCGCGUGAGGGAUGACGGCCUUCGGGUUGUAAACCUCUGUCAGAAGGGACGAAGAAGUGACGGUACCUUCAGAGGAAGCCACGGCUAACUACGUGCCAGCAGCCGCGGUAAUACGUAGGUGGCGAGCGUUAUUCGGAUUUACUGGGCGUAAAGGGUCCGCAGGGGGUUUGCCAAGUUCGAUGUGAAAUCCCGCGGCUUAACUGCGGAACUGCAUUGAAAACUGGUGAACUAGAGUGCACGAGAGGAGAGUGGAAUUCCUGGUGUAGCGGUGGAAUGCGUAGAUAUCAGGAGGAACACCGAAGGCGAAGGCAGCUCUCUGGCGUGCUACUGACCCUCAUGGACGAAAGCGUGGGUAGCGAACAGGAUUAGAUACCCUGGUAGUCCACGCUGUAAACGUUGUGCACUAGAUGUGGGUGGGACUCUGGUCUCAUCUGUGUCCCAGCUAACGCGUUAAGUGCACCGCCUGGGGACUACGGCCGCAAGGCUAAAACUCAAAGGAAUUGACGGGGGCCCGCACAAGCGGUGGAGCAUGUGGCUCAAUUCGAGGCAACGCGAAGAACCUUACCUGGGUUUGACAUAUACAGGACCGCCUGUGAAAGCAGGCUUUCCUUCGGGACCUGUAUACAGGUGCUGCAUGGCUGUCGUCAGCUCGUGCCGUGAGGUGUUCGGUUAAGUCCGGCAACGAGCGCAACCCAUGUUGUCAGUUACCAGCGCGUAAUGGCGGGGACUCUGGCAAGACUGCCCGUGUCAAGCGGGAGGAAGGCGUGGAUGACGUCAAGUCCGUAUGGCCCUUACAUCCAGGGCUGCACACGUGCUACAAUGGACGGUACAAUGAGAAGCGAAAUCGCGAGGUGGAGCAAAUCUCAAAAACCGUCCCCAGUUCGGACUGGAGUCUGCAAUUCGACUCCACGAAGUCGGAAUCGCUAGUAAAGGGGUAUCAGCAACGGCCCCUUGAAUACGUUCCCGGGCCUUGUACACACCGCCCGUCACAUCAUGGAAGCCGGUUGCACCCGAAGUCGCUGACCCAACCCCUCGGGGAGGGAAGCGCCGAAGGUGUGCCCGGUAACUGGGAUGAAGUCGUAACAAGGUA